GACGUAGGGCGCGAGCGUUGUCCGGAUUUAUUGGGCGUAAAGAGCUCGUAGGCGGCUUGUCGCGUCGACUGUGAAAUCCCGCGGCUCAACUGCGGGUCUGCAGUCGAUACGGGCAGGCUAGAGUUCGGUAGGGGAGACUGGAAUUCCUGGUGUAGCGGUGAAAAUGCGUAGAGAUCAGCAGGAAUACCCCGUGGCGAAGGCGGCCCCCCCUGGGCCGAAACCUGACGCUG
rnacentral:rRNA from 1 species